rnacentral:rRNA from 1 species
UACGUAGGGUGCGAGCGUUGUCCGGAAUUACUGGGCGUAAAGAGCUCGUAGGUGGUUUGUCGCGUUGUUCGUGAAAACUCACAGCUCAACUGUGGGCGUGCGGGCGAUACGGGCAGACUGGAGUACUGCAGGGGAGACUGGAAUUCCUGGUGUAGCGGUGGAAUGCGCAGAUAUCAGGAGGAACACCAGAGGCGAAGGCGGCCUACUGGGCUGCACCUGACGCUGAGCCGCGAAAGCCAGGGGAGCGAACGGG